rnacentral:rRNA from 1 species
UGUAAGCGUAUACCAAAGUUGUUGCAGUUAAAACGCUCGUAGUCGGAAUUUGGCAGUUCCGGAUGUGUGCACGUCGUGUGCGCACUUCGCGGGGAUUGCUUUUGUGGUCUUGCGUAGGAUGAGGCACUUUUAUUAGCGAACGUCCUCACGCAACCACUUUUUACUGUGAGAAAAUCAGAGUGCUCAAAGCAGGCAUUUGCCGUGAAUGUAUUAGCAUGGAAUAAUAGAAUAGGACUUGGUUCUAUUUUGUUGGUUUGUUGGGACUGAGUAAUGAUUAAGAGGGACAGUUGGGGGCAUUUGUAUUCCGGCGCUAGAGGUGAAAUUCUUAGAUUGCCGGAAGACAAACUGCUGCGAAAGCGUCUGCCAAGGAUGUUUUCAUUGA